rnacentral:sRNA from 1 species
GUCAACUUUCUCGGCCCUGACGGAUCGAGCUUGCUCGGUUCUUCGGGAUGGUUGACCAGCCCCAGAAACCCCUGAAAGGGAGGUGACUACGUUGUACACAGGUGUGAAGACCAAUUCCGGGGUGCUUCCUCAGCUCCGGACUCUGGAAUCCGUGUCAGCAGACACGGCCCCGAGAAGCCACGAAACGGGACACGGACGCCGCAAGGCAGCCGGUGUGCGACAUGGGCGAGGGGAGACCGGCGUGAGCCG